rnacentral:rRNA from 1 species
GAUGAACGCUGGCGGCGUGCCUAAUACAUGCAAGUCGAGCGAACAGAUGAGGAGCUUGCUCCUCUGACGUUAGCGGCGGACGGGUGAGUAACACGUGGAUAACCUACCUAUAAGUCUGGGAUAACUUCGGGAAACCGGAGCUAAUCCCGGAUAAUAUAUUGAACCGCAUGGUUCAUUAGUGAAAGACGGUUUUGCUGUCACUUAUAGAUGGAUCCGCGCCGCAUUAGCUGGUUGGUAAGGUAACGGCUUACCAAGGCAACGAUGCGUAGACGACCUGAGGGGGUGAUCGCCGACACUGGAACUGGGACACGGUCCAGACUCCUACGGGAGGCAGCAGUAGGGAACCUGCCGCAAUGGGCGAAAGCAUGACGGAGCAACGCCGCGUGAGUGAUGAAGGUCUUCGGAUCGUAAAACUCUGUUAUUAGGGAAGAACAAAUGUGUAAGUAACUAUGCACGUCUUGACGGUACCUAAUCAGAAAGCCACGGCUAACUACGUG